rnacentral:rRNA from 1 species
GUGGGGAAUUUUGGACAAUGGGCGAAAGCCUGAUCCAGCCAUUCCGCGUGCAGGAUGAAGGCCCUCGGGUUGUAAACUGCUUUUGUACAGAACGAAAAAGCUCCGGCUAAUACCUGGAGUCCAUGACGGUACUGUAAGAAUAAGCACCGGCUAACUACGUGCCAGCAGCCGCGGUAAUACGUAGGGUGCAAGCGUUAAUCGGAAUGACUGGGCGUAAAGCGUGCGCAGGCGGUAUUGUAAGACAGAGGUGAAAUCCCCGGGCUCAACCUGGGCACUGCCUUUGUGACUGCAAGGCUGGAGUGCGGCAGAGGGGGAUGGAAUUCCGCGUGUAGCAGUGAAAUGCGUAGAUAUGCGGAGGAACACCGAUGGCGAAGGCAAUCCCCUGGGCCUGCACUGACGCUCAUGCACGAAAGCGUGGGGAGCAAACAGGAUUAGAAACCCUAGUAGUCC